GAUGAACGCUGGCGGCGUGCCUAAUACAUGCAAGUCGAGCGAACAGACGAGGAGCUUGCUCCUCGGACGUUAGCGGCGGACGGGUGAGUCACACGUGGAUAACCUACCUAUCAGACUGAGAUAACUUCGGGAAAGCGGCGCUAAUACCGGAUAAUAUAUUGAACCGCAUGGUUCAAUAGUGAAAGACGGUUUUGCUGUCACUUCUAGAUGGAUCUGCGCCGCAUUAGCUAGUUGGUACGGUAACGGCCUACCACGGCGACGAUGCGUGGCCGACCUGAGAGGGUGAUCGGCCACACUGGAGCUGAGCCACGGUCCAGACUCCUACGGGAGGCAGCAGUAGGGAAUCUUCCGCAAAGGGCGAAAGCCUGACGGAGCAACGCCGCGUGAGUUAUGAAGGUCUUCGGAUCGUAAAACUCUGUUAUUAGGGAAGAACAAAUGUGUAAGUAACUAUGCACGUCGUGACGGUACCUAAUCAGAAAGCCACGGCUAACUACGUG
rnacentral:rRNA from 1 species